CACGUAGGGCGCAAGCGUUGUCCGGAAUUAUUGGGCGUAAAGAGCUCGUAGGCGGUCUGUUGCGUCCGCUGUGAAAACUCGGGGCUUAACCCCCGAGCCUGCAGUGGAUACGGGCAGACUAGAGGUAGGUAGGGAGAAUGGAAUUCCCGGUGUAGCGGUGAAAUGCGCAGAUAUCGGGAGGAACACCGGUGGCGAAGGCGGUUCUCUGGGCCUUACCUGACGCUGAGGAGCGAAAGC
rnacentral:rRNA from 1 species